rnacentral:tRNA from 1 species
GCUUUCUUAGUAUAAAUUAGUAUAAUUGCCUUCCAAGCAAUAGGAUUAAAAAUCAACUUUAAAGAUAGCA